UCUUCAGCGGGUGAAGGGAGCUUUCCCGCGGAUGGUUAUGGCGGUGAGAGUUCAUUUAAAGCGUCGUCGCCACAGAAAGCGGCUUAGAGACUUCGUCGCCACAGAAAGAGGCGUUUCGCCGUGAGAUGCUGUGCGCCUGACAGAUGCAUCUGUCAUAAUUUGUUGGCACCUGGAUGACUAAAUCUUCAAGUUAUCAUAAAUCAAGAUCACAAGCCAAAAAGUAACAUAGGAAAUAAAAAGGACUGGAUCAUUUUACAGAUUUUACUCAGUUUGAUUGCAGAAGUCUAUAUAGG